rnacentral:rRNA from 1 species
UACAGAGGGGGCAAGCGUUGUUCGGAAUUACUGGGCGUAAAGGGCGCGUAGGCGGCCUUCUAAGUCGAACGUGAAAUCCCCGGGCUCAACCCGGGAACUGCGUCCGAUACUGGAAGGCUUGAAUCCGGGAGAGGGAUGCGGAAUUCCAGGUGUAGCGGUGAAAUGCGUAGAUAUCUGGAGGAACACCGGUGGCGAAGGCGGCAUCCUGGACCGGUAUUGACGCUGAGCGCGAAAGCCAGGGGAGCAAAGCGGG